rnacentral:rRNA from 1 species
AAACAUUGCUUUUAGAUCCUCAUAUUAAAAGUUAAUCCUGCCCAGUGAUUUAAUUCAACGGCCGCGGUACCCUGACCGUGCAAAGGUAGCAUAAUCAUUUGCCUUUUAAUUGGAGGCUUGUAUGAACGGAUAAACGAAACUUCAGCUGUCUCAUUAUUUAAUCUAUAAAAUUUGGAUUUCAGGUGAAGAUACCUGAAUUAUUUAGAAAGACAAGAAGACCCCAUAGAGUUUUAGUUUUAAUAUUUUAACCUUAAAUAUAUAAACUUUGGUUGGGGCGACCCAGGAUUAUCAAAAACAUCCUUAAAUUACACGAUUUUUUUAUCUUAUUAUAGACCCUUAAGAUAAGAGCGAAAGAAGUAACUACCUUGGGGAUAACAGGCUUAUCUUCCUAAAGAGUUCACAUUGACAGGAAGGUCUGGCACCUCGAUGUUGGCUUAGAGUAACCUAUUAGUGCAGCAGCUAUUAAAGGUCAGUUUGUUCAACUGUUAAAUCUCUACGUGAUCUGA